rnacentral:SRP_RNA from 1 species
AGCGACCCCUCGUGCGACGGCAUCGUGCUGAACCCCCCCAGGGCCGGAAGGCAGCAAGGGCAGGUGCGCUCUGCUGGGUGUGCGGGGGGUCCCGGCA